CCCCUCCUUCGUAGACCUCCAUAUUCAACCCCCCUCCUCCUUAGACCUCCAUAUUCAACCCCCCUCCGACCAGGUGGCUUUUUCUGAGACAGCAGCAGAGGACACCCCAGAGACCUACACACACUUAGUCACAUAGUAUUUCCGGGCACGCACACACACAUAUACACACACUGUAUCUCACACACGUACUCCCAACCAAACACACAAUCUUACACACACAGAUGCACACACACACACACAGACACACAGUAAGCUGGGCUGGACCAGGGCCUCUGUAGAAGCAGCUAGAGCAGGACCCUCCAGAGACCUCCUUAAGAAAACAGAGCAAAGACGGACAAGAAAAGCUGUCAUAACUAGGAACAGGUCUGGCCUAGUGACUCACACACACAGAUCUCAACAUGUGUGUUGUGUGUCUCUGUGUGUGUCUGUGUCUGUCUGUGUGUGUGUGUGUGUGUGUCAUUCCAUUGGGCUUGAGGAUCUCUCUGAUUGUAGGUUAUCUUCAGUUUUAAGCUUUAAUCACGCACCAGAAGAUUGUGUGGAAAGUCCCUUUCUCGAGCUUAGAGCCCAGUGAUACAGCACACACACACACACACACACACACACACACGUUGUGUUUGUCUAAAUACGACUGGUAUAAAAAAGACACGAUGCAUUAUAGAAGUGUGUUUGGGAGUGUUAAGGCAGUGCUUAUUUCAUAACCCCCCCACCCCCCCGAAAAAAAAAGAAAACGCACUGCAUACAUUUGACAAUCGGAUAUUCUAACAAAAACAUAGUGAUGUGAUUUUGUAAUUAUUUCUGGACUAUUAGACCCAGAGGAUUCUCUUUAAUGUUUGUUCUGGCCACACUGGCAGAGGGCCCGACAGAACCCAGUGUGUCGGAGACACAUUAGCAAAACAAAGCGUGUCCCAAAUGACACCCUGCCCCCUUGCUUGUGUCGCCCCGGUCAAAAGUAGUGCACUUCGCAGAAAACAGGGUGUGAUUUGGGAAGCGGACCCGUGUACGUGUGAGGUGGAGGCUCCCUCUGCUUUCCCCAUCUGAUGCUCCCUGUAAACCUCACCAGAGUGUUAGCGGCUGGGCGGAUGGAUGGAUGAAAAAAGAGAGGAGGAGGUGUGAGAAAGGGAUGGAGAAAUGACAGAGGGGAAAGGUGGAAAGCGUAGACAUCUGUUUCCUAGGUCAGCUCCUUGUUCCAGGUGUGCCACCAAACACAGUCCUAGUAAAUGCAGGGCCACCUAUCACCUGUCCUGUUAGUGAGCUAAAAGGCUUUGGCAUUUGAACAGGUGAGUCUGAUUUGAAACUGUCCAGGUCCCCCUAUGUGGAGAUGUUUAACCAUGUCUGCACUCUACCUAGGGUCCCUUUUUGGUGAAUAUUUAAUAUCUCUCUCUCUCUCUUUUCAUUGGAAGAUGUACAGAAUUUAACGCAGCAGUCUUUCCAUAGGUAGAGAAAACCUAACAUGUUUUUUCUAAAGUAUAUGGAAAUACAUAAAUAUAUAUAUUUAUAAAUAAAUGAGUUGAAAGAUAUUGACACCUGUAAGGAUUUGCACAGUGUCUGAGGAGAAGGAAAGAUCCGUCUUAACAAAAUGGCUUCCAAACUCCUAAUCCCACAUCCACUUUUGUCUUUGUAAAACAAUUACAACAGAGUUUGUAGUUCAGAACUAGCCUAAACGCUAAUAUGUUUCAAGUGUCAAAAACUAAAGGUGUUAACACUUUCUCAAAACAUAUUUUGUUUAAUGUGUGGUUUAUAAAAUGUCUUCCUUGUUACUAUCCGGUCUCUCAGUUUUGAAGUGUUUACUAUGGUUUUCUUUUUUUGUCCAGGAUUUGGUUUCGGGGUUGAUAACUGGUGUUUUUCGCAGCCUGGCGAUAAAGUGUGUGAUUCUAAUGUAAUUAUGGAUGUGUACUUUUUUUUAAAACUGCGUCCUAAAUGGUAACUUAUUUCCUACUUAGUGUACUACAUUCAACUGAAGACCUACAUGGGGAAUAGGCUGUUAUUUGUGACAUGGUCAGAGUGUAUAUUCAGGGGGUUAUGAUCCUUCCUCCUCUUUGUGUUUGUGUCGUCUGAUGAUGCCAAGAAUUUCAAUAGAGGACAGUGUGAUUGGAGGACUUUUGAUGUGGUGGAUAAGAUGAAGUUCAUAGAAACAGAAUGAGUAGAACGAUGGUCCUCUAUUGAUGUCAGUGAUUGAUCUGGUCUGUUCAUAUGCGUGCAAUUCAAAGUGAAACCCAGGUCCAGUGCUGUUAUCAGACACCAUGAAAGUGUGCCUUACAGUACUGGGUCAGAACCGGGAUGUGAUAGGCAUGAAAUAACCCAUCUUACAUGCUAUAGGGCUGGUUUUCUUACUCUUAGCAUCAACGGCAUUGCAAACUUUACCCUGUACCAGGAUGUUAUGGCCAAACUCCUGGUUGCCUUUGCUACAAGGUAAAAAUGUAGCAACAAGUUAAUCGUCCAGCAAGACAGUAAACCCAAUCCAAAGUCAUAUUCCAGGAGGAAAUGAUCAGUUGACCACUAAAUCGACAUUUUGCAUAGGUGGUCACGGCCUCUGGUCUGGAACCC
ensembl:lncRNA